AGAACGAACGCUGGCGGCGUGGAUAAGACAUGCAAGUCGAACGCGACUUAUCUGGUUAGCAAUAACUAGGUAAGUUGAGUGGCGAAAGGGUGCGUAACACGUGGGAAUCUACCAAGAAGUGGGGAAUAGCUCGGCGAAAGCCGAAUUAAUACCGCAUGUGAUCGAAAGAUCAAAGUCGGGGACCGCAAGGCCUGACGCUUUUUGAGGAGCCCGCGGCCCAUCAGCUAGUUGGCGGGGUAAAAGCCCACCAAGGCUAUGACGGGUAGCUGGUCUGAGAGGACGACCAGCCACACUGGAACUGAGACACGGUCCAGACACCUACGGGUGGCAGCAGUCGAGAAUUUUUCACAAU
rnacentral:rRNA from 1 species